rnacentral:tRNA from 1 species
AGUGGUAUAACUCAGUGGAAGAGUACAUGCCUAGCAAGCAUGAACGCCUGGAUUUAAUCCCUAGCACCA